ACAUAGAAGUAAAAUUACAAUUAGUUUCGACCUAAAUAAAGGAGUAUAAUUUCCCAUGUU
rnacentral:tRNA from 1 species